rnacentral:lncRNA from 1 species
GACCAUCUGCUUUCGACUGCUGCUAUUCACAAGGAUAUCCAGCGCGCUUCUGCACAGUCUAGUCUCCGGCCUAUGCUAGAGAUGCAUUAGAGCUCUACUCGUCCUAUAUGGCCGGCCGUGUUACGUCUGCGUUUUCUCGCCGUUCCUGCUGAGAGACCGAGUGUCGUUCGGCUCCCUGCGGUAGUUCUGGCUAGAACCAUGUACACUUCAAUCCUACCUACUACGGAUGUGUUCUCGCGUGGUUUAUCAGCCCUGCGGCAUUUCGUAUUCCGAACGUCUGCUUUUGAAUUAAGCGUCGUCAGAAGUUCCAAUGACUGCUCUUGUUCGUGUUCUCUUAGCGUUUUCCUUCACUGUGUUGCUACACCUUCCCGGGGCCGCAAAGAAACUUUGUGGGCUCCCGAAGAAACUUUCUGUCGGCUGCCUUUAAUAUGCAGGCCCUCGAGGUUUGGUUUAUGCUUGGGACAGCUUCCUUCUCCACGCAUAUUUUCCAAAAGACUCUUAAAUGUCCCUCUCCACCUAAGACGAUGUCACCUUUCUUCAGUUCCUGGUGACAUUUCAGAGCUGCUUGCAUUUUCGCACCUCUAAAUUCUUUCGUGUACUCGGAGGGCCAUAUUUUUCAGGAUUCACGUGGUUUCCACUUUUAUUGAAGGCUGCCGUCCUAUUCAUCAGUCUCCUCCCAGUUUUGUUUCCGCCAGUCGGCUCCGAUGGAGUUGGAGUAUAGGCUAUCCAGGUUCAUCGUAAACGUAUGUUAGCGACUGGUUGUUCAUGAUAUCAUCUUCGUAUGUUAAGGUAUAUAGUUCUCCAAUAUGCGGUACACAUCGGCCAAUCGUUUUUCGCAGUUGACUUGAAACUAUGGAUUAGCCUUUCAUAGAAACCGCCCCACCACGGAGCGUUUUCCAGAAGAAAUUUCACUUGGUGAUUGGUGACGAAAUCUCGAGCUGUUUCGCAGAUGUAAUGUAGACCGCAUUCAAUUCUUUGUUUCCUGAAAAGUCUUUUGUUGUCGUUGAGCACGUUUCUUUUCGAGCCAAGAAGCGCCGAAAAGCUUGUAUAAAACUGAGGUGAAGCGUCUCAAAGUUUCCAAGUGUGCAGCUCUUGUCACGGCACAUUUAAAAAUUACUACGUAAAGUUUGACAGUGUCACUUUUUGUUGUAGUGGCUCCCAGAACUGGUUUCCAUGCCAUAUUCCACUACUUUUUAAAAUUCGUCGGACGCUGUUUCCUCGAUUACGAACGUCUCCAUCUGUGAAUUUGCGGCUCGGCAACUGUUAUGCCCUUGAUUUGACUAAGGCUCAUCAUUACAGAACCUACGUCGUCUCCGUCGCUCACUUUUUGCCUCUAAUGAGGUUCAUUAUCUGCAUCCUCAGUUUUCCCUCUUUUGCGAAACCUUUCCAUUCAUGUUCAAAAUACAGGCUGACAUUCACGAAGUAGCGAUGGCUUCUAUUCUCUUUAGCGGUUGCUCUCGGCUCCACGGCGUCUGUUCCCGAUUGCCAAUCGCAUGACAGCUAGCUUUUUUCUUCAUUGUUGUCCUUCUUGGUGGCGAGGGUCCAUUGCGGCCCACAAGGCAUCCAGCCCGCUCCUGCACAUUGACUCUCCAGUAUACGCUCCAGAGGAGAUUACUUCGCGCACGAGCUCCACCCGUUCCAGGAGCGACUGUCAUUACUUCUACAUACUCUCGCCGAUGGCGUCCUGCUGGCAGACUCGACUGUCCUCCUCACCAUGCACUACUGCUGGCUCUGAGCUCAUUUUCGAUUGCGGUCAACAAGGACUCUCCGGUCUACUCUCCAGAGGAGAUUACUUCGCGCACGAGCACCGCCCGUUCCAGGAGCGACUGUCAUUACUUCUACAUUCUCUCGCCGAUGGCGUCCUGCUGGCAGACUCGACUGUCCUCCUCACCAUGCACUACUGCUGGUUCUGAGCUCAUUUUCUAUUGGUGUCCACAAGGACACCCAGCCCGCUCCUGCACAUUGACUCUCCGGUCUACUCUCCAGAGUCGCUUACUUCGAGCUCCACUCGUCCUGUGACGGACCAUGUUUGCAUAGCUACAUUCUCUCGCGGAUGGCGUCCUACUGGUAUACUGGACAUAUCCUGGAGCCCUUGUACUUAAUUAUGGUUGCGAGGGUGUUAUCGCUUGUGGCACGAGAUAAUUGUUCGACCACGCUCAUUUACGACAAGGACACUCCUGGCCUUCAAGAGCGACAAUCUUGCCCGAUCGUCCUGCGCAGACUAAGCAGCAAGCUUCCUCUGACCUCUGAAACCGUCGUGCGCCUCCGUCUUCGCUGUGUCCUGCACUGUGAUGGCGGCGUGUUAAGGCUCUGAAGGACUGCUUGCAGUCGCCGUCCCGCGACCGUCCAUCAGAUGUACUUCUGCAGUUCUUCUGUUUGCUUUUUUAUUUUUUACGCAGGCAUAUUUAAUGUUUCGUAUAGCAAGCUUUUCUGCUUUGAAAGAGUGGUACGUCACUCAGCGAAUGGAUGACGCUUCUAGCAAUUAUGAGAAUACGAAGCAGAACAGUAAAGUCUGGUUACGUAGACCACCCAGUUUUUCAGAAGGGUUGUUGGUCUUCACGAGCCGAUCUGUAAAUUUUUGGUGGCGAGAGUAAUGGACAUUCAUUCACAUUGUGCACUUUCGUAGUAGUACGUUGUGUGUGUGUGUGUGUGUGUGUGUGUGUGUGUGUGUGUGUGUGUGUGUGUGUGUGUGUGUCUCGGUUGCGCGCGUACUGGUUCGGUCAUUUCGUAUGUACACACCUUUUCUGGGCUCCUUUUGUUAUAUCGAACGCAUGUAUGACAAAGCUUCAGCGCUAUUCGGCGCACGUCGGAUUCAUUAUAUUUCGGUAGCAUUUCCAGUGUCACCGUUGUAUCCACAAUGCGAGUUGAUGGUUCAUUUCUCCGGUUCAUCCCGGUUAAAAAGCUGCCUGGUUUCAUCCGCUUUUGGAUUGGUUGAACAACUCCUGUCUUUGGCUUUGUACCUUGGGUUGAUCUCGGUACUCGUUUCAGCAUUCAGCGAUUUGUUAAGGCAUCCUUCUCGUAUCGGAAACGAGGGCUUCGUACAUAUUGUCGGUUCUUCCACGUCGCUCAUCACCGACUCAAGAGAUCAACAUGCCACUACAAAAGCACACAAUGCCAAUGAAUGGGAAAGAGGGUAGUUAUUCUCGCCAGCAAAAAUUUUCUGAUUAGCUCAUGAUAAUGACGACCAUUUUAAAAACUGGUUGGUGAUCAAUUUCGCCAUGCUCGCUGUUCCUAGUUUUGAUGUGCCUGAAUCAUUAAAUGCUUUUAUGGAUAUGAGCAUCCUCUAUGAAAUGUGUUCACGCCGUGCGUUGUCUGCGUCACUUAUCGGCACGUAAACUUGCGGUUCGUAAGAUAUGUGAGCCGUGGAAACUCGCAGAAAUUUGUUGCCAUCGUAGACGCACGAGUUGGAGCAGCGUACGGCUGCUCGACGAGGCACAGUAGGAUGUAUCUCUGCCUGGUCCAAAAUUAAUUGCUUGUCGUUUUUUCAUCGGACAGUGCUACCCACUGUCGCCACCACGUAUACUGUGCCGCAUUGGCGCCGUGGUUUGAUUGGGAUGUGUUGCAUAAUCGUGCACUGCGCAAGGUCAGUAAUAACAGCGAACCGCCAUGGCGCCCUUGACGGGUCUCUGGGUCGGUAUUUUGUAGCGAUGCCUGUCCGGUAAUAAUGCCUUUUCGCGCUUUGUCAGUGAUCAGAGCGACGGUCCGCUCCCGUUAUCAACGGGAUCAGCCGGCCGUGAGUGAUGGAUAAGACUAAUAUAGAAUAAGUCGUAAGGCAUCGCUACAAAAUACCGGUCCUGAUCUCGUUGCCUGCUGACUGUAGAGAUGACGGUUUUGUCAUGCCGUGAUUGAAGUAUACUGCUUGAGCCAUUGUCAAACGGCGGCUUCAAAGGGGCUAUAUUUACUCCUCCUUAUGCAAAAUCAUGUGUAAACAUAGACAAAGUGCACGAGCGCGCGCAAUGCAAUCUCCCAAAGAAAAUGUUCGCUUUAGUUGUAUUUAUUGUUUAAGCGACUAGUUUACCACAGUUUCUCUUGUACCUUGUUUUUACUGUACGCUGUGUUGAUAUCUUUACAUUGCUCUUCGAAUGCAUUUGAAUGCGCUUGCUUAAAAUAGUUGUAAUUUGACCAUGCUUCCGCUGUUGUCCUAAUGUCGAUUUAAGGACGCACACCUUGAAUUUUAUUUUCAAUUUUAUCGGUAACCUCUAAUAACAUUGUCCCCACAUUGCUUGAAAACUAAAAAGGUGAGCAAUGUCAUUGGCAAAUAAUUACCUGUACCGCUGUGAUGCGAAAGUCAAACCACGCAUGCGUAAUGCUGCUCAAAAUGUCGCCUAACAUGUACAAGGCUCUACGGAGCCUUUCUGUAGGAAGUCUUUUUUUCAUUUCGAUCAGUUAUAACGACAGCCCUGCCGUCGAAUACUCACAAGCAGUGUACAAUACGAGCAGUGUGGAGAUUUGGACUUGCGUUACGUUGAAAAAGCCUUCAACACAACUGGUACAUGGACGCAGAGAAAGAACACACCCACACAGCACUCAAUUUACAAUACGACAGCGAUGCACGACAUUACUGUACAUUGAGAGGCCUGUGUGAUAUUGUAUGUGACGUAUUAUAUAGUAUCGUCAUGUAGAAAUGUUUUUGUCCCUUCUGUGCAUUCCGCACCCAACUGGGCAAGUUCGCAUACUUGCAUGCUUUCUCGUUUCCUAAAAACUAGAAUCGGGGUAAAUUCCCUUCCAUCUCCAUGCGAAGGUACUGUACAACGCUUGCUCGUUUCAGGUAGUUCUAAUAGCUUACAGCUGUAAAACCUUUCAUGUAUAUGCAAAUAAAGACGUAAGUUGCUAUUCCUUGGAUUAUGCUAUUUCGCUUUCAUUUGGUGUGUUUUACGAAAACAGUGUUUUGCAUUUUUGUACGUCAGAGUAUCUUGAAGCUCAAAUUAUCUAUGCGAUGUAAAUCACGUUAUGUAUUUGAUGUGCGUUUGUAUAUAAAUGCACACAUGCUUAUUCUCAUUCUGUAUAUUGAAUCCACUCUAUGCUGCUGUCUGCAGCAUGGGGAUAAAGUCCAAUCAGGUGGCAUUGAGUCACUUUCAAUUACUUCAGUCUUGUUUUGCGCCGAGUGUAUUCAACAUGCAAACUGAACCCUACGAAUAUCCUGCCAAAUAAAACUUCUGU